GUGGCUCUCUUUGCUAUUGGCUGCAUUUGAGAGAUGUUUAAUGCAACCAUAAGAAGCCACAAAUAGUAAAUAAGUGGUUCCUGCCGACAGAGUCUGUAGAGAUAUCAGAUUUUUCUGUGCGAUGGUUCCAUACAUU
rnacentral:snoRNA from 1 species